ACCACGAUCGACUAGCUGCACUACAAAUAUAUCAUCAUGAGUACUUCGCAAGGUGUCACCCUCGGUACCCGAUAGUAGCUCUGCAACGUCGUAUAACUAAGGGGGUGUAAGUGCUGUGUCGGGUCUUGGCUCGUCGAUCACGGAUCAAGACUUGAUGAUAAAGUGGGGGCAACUGGACUAAGGGUUGGAGGGAUGACCGAUCCACCUAUACUAAACAGUUUUCAGGUGCCGUAGAAUAAUGUAGCAGUUCAUCAAAAUUAGGCUAUGCAUGAGAUAUAGGAGCUAACUACAAGAGUAGCAAAAUUCUAAUGCAAGCAUGAGGGCGAAAGAAAUGGGCGAUAUAGGAAGGAUCAAGGGGGGUUUGCUUGCCUGGUUGCUGUGCAAACGGAUCCUCAACCGGAAGUAGUCGAUCACCGGAUCAUCAUUAGUCUCGAGGUCUAUCGGAAAGGAAGUAACGUAGGGGAAACACAAUAAAUAACACAACAAUCAAAAGCAUCAAAAAGCAAGACAUGGCUAAAGGCAGCGCUAGGCAUGAGCUAACGCAGUAACAUCCGUCAUAAACGGAUCCGGAAAAUAUUGGAUGAUAUUUCCAGGGUCUGUGGCUACUAGCUACUACACGCGAGACGAAACGGUGAAAAAGUUCCUCGUUUGCUAUGGUAGGGACGUGUGACAAACGAAUGGAUACCGUAUCCGGGUUCGUCUCGUUCUGCUGAGCACCUUUCAUGUUCUAAAUAUUUUCAUCUCACUUACAUUUAUUUAAUAUUAAUUCUCAAAGUUUUAUGCAAUAUCCAGAAAUUAAAAUAGAUUAAACUAAUUGUGAUAUUUAGAUAUGACAUCAUUGUGAUGUCACCAUGACAUCAAGAGUCAACUGGAUUUGUUGACUAGUCAAAUAUGACGAAUGAGUCCCAUGUGUCAUAGACACAUUCAGUAUUAGGGUUAAAUAAAUGUUUAAUCAAGUUAAUUAGUGGGGUGGGACCCACGUGUAAUACUCUGCUUAGGAUAAUAUAUUUAUCUUAAUUAAGAGUUUUAGUUAACAAUUUAUUUAAUUAAUUUAUCUAAUCUUAAUCAUUAUAAUUAACCAAAUAUUUAUUUAUUUAUUAUUAUUAUGAUCAUCAUUAUUAUUAUAUCCUAAUUAUUUAAAACAGUAAUUACUGUUUAACUAAAUAGUUAAUCCAAUUAAUUAAUAUUAAAUAUUUUUAAAACUAUAUUUAUUUAUUUUUAUUUAUUUUUGUUUUUUUAGGGGCGUGGGUCUCGCAUGUCAUAAGCUAUACUAAACAAAUAAAAAAAUACUAUCCGAAGAAAUGGUGUCCACUUGUCAUCUGCUAGUAGCUGACCUAACUACUAAUUAACCUAAGCUAACAUGGCCGGCCUCAUAUAGACACGAGAGAACCAGCGUGUGUGUGCACGCAUGGGCAUAUGGCCACAAUGGCCAUUUCGAGUGGCAGCAGUAGUACGGGAGCAGCAACACAGCUGACAUCAAUAGCAAUAUGCAUAGCAAGGGAGUAGCAGCUAGAAGCAGCAGCAGUUAGCACGAGAAGCGGCAGCAGGCUAGCCAGCAAGAGCAGCUAGUAGUGUUAGGAGCAACCGGGCGAGGGCGACAGCAGCAGAGCGCGCGUGCGCGGACGGCGCGGAGGAGCAACACGUAUCAACGAGGCGCACGCGGGCGGCGCACGGCUAGGGAGCGACAGACGCGGCCUGAGGCGGGCAACGAUAGCGGAUGGCCGGGGGGCUGCGACGGCGGUGCCGACAUGGAGGCUGCGAUGGCUGCGGUGGCCGAGCCCAGCAGCGGCAGCAGCAUGCCGGGGGAGGGCACAUCCGCGGGUCAUAAUAGAUGGGGUGCGGUCUGGGGCGUGGGCGGCCGGGGUGGGCUUGCCGGAGCGUGGCCGCUGGAGCAUGGCCGGAAUGGGGAGAUGCGAGGAGAAGGAGGGGGCGCUCACGUCGCUGUAGGGGAAGCGGAGGCCUGGGGAGGGGCGAGGCGACCGGUGGCCGUCGGGGGCGUCGGGUCGAGGGGGCUUCAGCGGGGGCAGCGAGGCGGCGCCGGUGUGGGAGGGCGUCGUGACGGCGAGCGGUCGAGGUCGCAGGGGCGAUGGGCGUUGAAGAGGUGGCGCCGGCGGGGAGGGAUGGGGACGGAGUGGCGGGGCGGUGUCGCUACCGACGGUGGCCAUCAUGGCCGUCGGUGGCGCGGGGUCGGGUCCCGAUCCAGAUCAAGACCGAGAGGGGUAGGUGGGGGAGCGAGUGGAGGAGGGAGUGCGGCGAUAGGGGGUGUCGGUGGGGUUGGGGGUGGGGGGGUGGCCUCUUGUAUAGGCCACGGAGGAGGGGUGGGCUGGCCGAUGGGUCGAGGCCCAGUUGGGCCGGCCAGGCGGUUUUAUUUUCUUUUUCUUUUUUAAAUUUUUUAUCCACUUUUCUUUUAUGUUUUCUUUUUAAAACAAGAGUAUUUUAGUCUUAUAAAAUAUAUAACAUGCACCAAUAAUUAUAAUGCAUUAAUAGGCACUGUCACAAAAAGGUUUGUGAUUUAAUUGAAGCGGUUUGAAAUUGAUAUAGUUUGUAAGCACUUAAAAUAUUGUUUUGGCCUCUGUUUUAAUUAUUUUGAGGCACUUAGUCACUCACAAAAUUGUUGGUUUCAAUAUUGACAAACACUUAAUGAAUAUUUACAACCCAAACAACUUUUUUAUUUUAUUGUUUGAAGGAAUAAUUUAUUUGACUUCAACUUUAAUUUGUAGUUAGUUUUGGGUUUUGUCAAGAGGCAAUGUGGCUCAGCUAGUCUUGAUGACAUGGCACCAUUAGCGUGUGAUUAUCGUAGCUUGAUUAUCGGGAUUACUGUAGCCUAAUUCGGGGAUGUCACAACCACCUUUAUGCCAAGUUCAACAAAUGCGAGUUUUGGUUGCAUGAAGUUGGAUUUUUGGGUCAUGUCAUGACGGCAGACACGUUGGUAGUCGAUUCCACCAAAAUUACAUCGGUAACAAAGUGGUGAUCACCAAACAAUGUAGAGCAAGUUAGAAGCUUCCUCGGACUCGCAGGAUACUACCGCAAGUUUGUUGUAGGAUUCUCUAGCAUUGACCGACCUACGACUCAAGCCUUGAAGAAGGGAAAAAUGUUCGAGUGGACGCCGAAGUGCGAAGAGAGCUUCCAGGAACUCAAGAAAAGGUUGACGGCAACCCCAAUUCCGGCCACUCCUGAUAUUCACAAGGAGUUUAUGAUAUACUGCGAUGCAUCAAGGACUGGGCUAGGUGGUGUCUUAAUGCGAGAAGACGGGGUCAUGGCAUAUCUAUCUCGAGAACUACAUCCCCAUGAGGAGAAAUACGUCACUCAUGAUGUUGAGUUGGCAGCAGUGGUUCAUGCCUUGAAAACAUGACAACAUUACCUUCUCAGGAAGCGAUGUGAGAUAUACACCAACCACAAGAGUUUGAAGUAUAUGUUCACUCAAAAGGAAUUAAAUAUGAGGCAACAGAGAUGGUUGGAAUUAAUUAAAGAUUAUGACCUCAGUACUCAAUUCCACCACGGAAAGGCCAACAUAGUAGCGGAUGUCUUGAGCUGUAAGGCUUGCACCUUAAAUGUUGUAAUCAAGGAAAGGCUACCCGCCCUAUAUGAAGAAAUUGAGAUCUUUGGGUCGGAGUUAGUUGCACCAGGAUUCCUCGCCAACCUCGAAAUCAAGCCUACGCUAAUGGACGAAAUCAAGGAGGCCCAUAAGGGACACGAGAGAAUCGAAGGUAUCAAGAAGAAGAUCAAGGAUGGCAAGGCCCCAAGAUUCUGCAUAGGUGAGCAGGGAGUCAUGUGGUUUGGGAGACGCAUUUGCGUACCCAACAAAGCUGACCUCAAGAACCCGAUAUUGCAAGAAGCACACGACACCCCAUAUUCUAUCCACCAUGGAGGAAAGAAGAUGUACCAAGACCUCAAGGCAAGGUUCUAGUGGCUUGUCAUGAAAAGGAAAUUAGCUUCGUAUGUCAACAAGUGCGACACAUGCCACAUGGUCAAAACUGAGCAUGAGCGACCCGCUGGGCUGCUCCAACCACUCAAGGUGCCAGAAUGGAAGUGGGACAGAGUCAGGAUGGACUUCAUCACUGGUCUACCCCUAUCAAGUAAGGGACAUGACUCCAUUUGGGUCAUUCUCAAUCACCUGACCAAGGUGGCCCACUUCAUUCCCGUCAACAUCUCCUAUGAUGGGCACAAGCUAGCCAGACUCUAUAUCGAGCGUAUCGUGAGUCUGCACGGAGUUCCGAAGGAGAUCAUGUGCGACUGGGGCACGUAGUUCACCUCGAGGUUCUGGAAGAGCUUUCAACAAGCCAUGGGAACCACGAUCUCCUUCAGCACGACCUUUCACCCUCAGACCGGCGUACAGACGGAACGAGUGUGGGGACCUCGACUUGUAGGUCGAGAUCGCCGAAUGAACAUGUACAGUGAUCCCAGGGAUAAAUGCUCAGUGAACACACAAAUACUGAAUAACAAGAGUCUUAGAUCCACACAUAACGUCUGAAUACAAAUAGGCGGCUCCUACAAAGAUGUCGCCUAAUUUGUACCAGCCGUAAGCCCCCUCAAUAGUCGUCCGAUACGUCGAGCCCCCACCGUCCGAUUCUUUCCCGACACCGCUGCACCUGAGCAGCAGUGCAACGACGCCCCUCGCAACAUUUUGCGUGUUGCAUUGAAACGUUAAAAUAGACCAGCCCGACACCACCCCACCUGAAUCCCCACGGAUUGCUGGCGGUGACGCGACCAACGACCCACGAGGACUCCGCCCUCCUCACGAACACUCCCGCCUGCCACCCUCUGCCGCCGUUCCACCACCACCCCCCACCGCCGACGAGUGACCUACCGUAGAUCUCGCUCUCUUGCAGUGAAUCAUAGUACCAGAGCCACCAACGACUCUCCCGCCCCACCCAUUGUUUGGACCACCAUAGUGCAGCACAUCUAUAGAGACAUGGUUGCUUCAACUUUUGCUCGAAGCUCAGAUGGAUCCAGCUACAUAAAUCCAACCGUGUUCUUCCCCGAAAAUCCGACAUACGGUUUCACAUCAGAUUUGGUGAGUUCCUCUGUAAAAAAGACCUUGUGUUGCAAUGUCAUUAUGAUAAAAAAAAUCUGCUGUCAAAAUAUGAAGCAAUGCUUGUGGUUCUAUGAUUUUUUAAGUUGAGCAUGGUAGUCUUUGCUCAGAAAAGAAAUUAGUAUGGUUACUGCGCAAAAAAUGUUGUAUCCUUGUCCAACAUUGUUCAGAAAAAUGUGUGUUUAAAACUGGUAAAAGCCAUGGUAAAAAACUGCUAAUGAUGUAAACUGUUGUGAACUUGUAAUGUGUAUCCUUGUCAUGUUCAGAAAAUGUUGUUGUGAACUGCUCUGAAGAAAUGUUGAAUCCUUGUAUGCUUGUCCUACAAAAAAAAUGAAAAAAUGCCAUGCUUCAAACUAUUUAUGUCAUGUAAAAAAAAUAAUUAGUGCUACGGAGCAUUUUGCAAGUUAUUAAAAAGUACUGAUGUAUGGAUGUACUUUUGGUUUUUUUGUAGGAUGCUCAUGAUGGAACAACAGCUCAACAUAGCUACGUGGCGCAUGAUUUUGUAACAAAUACAAGAACGAAUUCACAUGCCGACUCAACUCAAAUGCUGCAAUGUAUAACUGUGAUGAUGAGGAAGAAGAGUUUACAUCGCAGCCAGUAUUACCAUUUGUUGGCAUGCAAUUUGACACUGUCGAUGAUGCUAGAAUAUUCUACAAUGAAUAUGCCUUCAAGACUGGAUUUGGAAUACACAUAGGCGCUUCUUGAAACAGCCAAAAGAAAGGUCCUACGACACUUAUCAAGAGGGGUUUUGAGUGUGUCCACACAGGGAAGCCAGGAAGCAAAGCUGAUAGUAGCACUGCUUCAGAGGGUCUAUCAAUUGGUGCAGCCUCGUCUAGCAAAGAUAGUUGGUUAGAAAUGGGUGUUACGAACAAGCGUCAAAAGAAUAAGUUGCUACGACAUGAUUGCAAAGCUAAGAUGAUAGUUGGAAUCACGGGAAACAAGUGGCUUGUAUCACAUUUUGUUGAAGAGCACACGCACCCCCUAAUGCCAUAGCCAGGUCUUGUACGGUACUACCGCUUACACCGCAACAUUCCGGAAUAAGAUAUGGAUCUCAUAAUGACCAUGGAGGAUGUAAACUUCUCAACUUCAUUGUGCAUGGGGAUGCUUCCAAGGGUGCGCGACGGAGACCGCGGGAUACUACCAUAUGUGAAGAGCGAUGUUUCAAAUCUCCAGUCAAAGUUGCGCCAAAACCUAAACCUCCAAGACAUGGAUUUGACAGUGGACAAUUUUAAGAGGCGGGUAGCUAAGACACUCAGUUCUACUAUUAAAAAUUGUUGAUAAGGAUACAAACUCUGUUACAAGGCUCUUUUGGGUGGAUGGCAGGACAAGGGCAUUGUACCCUAAGUACAAAGAUUGUAUUUUCUUUGAUACAACAUUUUGUACAAAUAGAUACAACAUGCCAUUUGCUCCGAUUGUCGGAGUGAACAACCAUUUGCAAACGGUGCUGCUCAGUUGUGCAUUGCUACCAAAUGAACUGAUUGAAAGUUUCAAGUGGGUCUUCAAGAACAUUUUGCUUGCAAUGAACAAUGAACACCCAUUGAACAUUAUGACAGACGAGGACAAGGCCAUGGAAACUGCCAUAUCUCAAGUCUUCCCCAACACGGUGCACACAUGUUGCAAAUGGCAUGUCCAGAGAAAAGCUCGUGAGAAGCUUGGCAGGAUAAUGAGCAGGGAUGUGGUUUUUGAGCAGGCUUUCUACAGGUGCAUCAACAAUUCUGACACGGUUGAUGAAUUUGAGGAGAACUGGGAGCAUAUGAUACAUUGCUUCGAAUUAGUUGAGAAUAUACAUCUUUGCAACAUGUGGCGCACCCAUCACACGUGGGUCCCGACGUUAUUUCGGAAGUGCUUAUUCCCCUUUACAAACACUACUGGGAGGUCAGAGGGGCUAAACUCCUACUUCAAGACACUUGUGAACCCUCAAGAUUCGGUGUGGAGGUUUGUGUAACAAUAUGAGAUGUUGUAGGAGACUAUGCUAGACCGUGAGGACAAUCAAGCUUUCAUUGGUGCAGCAACCACGACCUCGCUUUACUCUAGGUACAACAUUGAACAUCAGGAAGUUGGUUUCUACACUCGAAGCGUGUUUUCCAAGUAUCAAGCAGAAGUGGAUGCAUCAACAGGAUUUGUGCUAAACCAAGUUCCUUCCUUGUCAUUAGAGGUGUGAAAUUUGAGCUCUUUUCAAAUUACUAUGAACACCCCAAGAUAUUUACAUUAAAUGUUGAGAUGGAACAAGAGAUAUUUGAGUGCAUUUGCAAUUGUUUCGAAAUGAAUGGCAUCGUAUGUGCGCAUAUCAUUAUAUUCAUGGUCCACCUCAAUGUCCAAGCUAUACCACAACGCUACUUGGUAGAACGUUGGUCGGAACAAGCAACUACACCAACCGGCUAUAGUGCUCAUAUACUAGAUUUUGUGCUCUCUUCCAACAAUGCACUCGAGUACAACUCAUUGUGUAGGAAGUUCACAUGGUUGGCCUCACAAGCUUGUAGCAAUGAUGUUGCCUACAAAAUACUAAAUCAUGUAGCUCAUACGCUUGAACCCAUUAUAGCUAUAGCAAAAAAAGGGAAUUGCAAGAACAACGAGAAGCACAACAGCAAGAGCAGACCCAACAACAAAACAGGGCACAAGGUGAGCAGUAGCUAGCAAUAAUGCAGCACCAGAAGGUGCCGCUUCGGCCAAAGAAACAACAGCCAAAACAGCCAAGACAACAGCACCCAAACCCGGCAAUCCAACAGCCAAAAGCACCCAACCCACCGGUUGCACAAGAUACCAGGGAGAGUGUCAUGCUUCAAAACCCAAAACGUGUCCCGAAGAAAGGUCGGCUGUAGGAAAAAUCAAGAAGAAGAAAUACUUUGCUUGAGCAAAGCGUGGAUGCAGCGAAGAAGAAGGCAAAAAAAAGAUGAGAAGAAGAAGGAAACAAAACCAGAGGAAAACUGUACCAAAGAAGAAAAAAGACAUAUGCUCAUACUGCAAAGAAGAUGGUCACAGCGCCCAAGUGUGCGAGCAUUUGAAACUUGCGAUGGCUGUACAUAAAUGCAAUUAUUGCACUGAGGAUGGUCAUGAAGCGACUACAUGUCCCUACCUGAGGGCUUCAAUGUCAGUGGAUGCAAAUGUCGCCAGAGCCACAAAGCUUAGGCUUUGAGAAGAAAAAAGACAUGAUGAGCACAUUCGCUUGCUUCAUACAAAAGUCAAAUGGAGGAGCUGUUGUGUCACUGUAAAUUUCUCCAUGCUAGUUUUUGGUCACAUGAGAAAGUCUCCUUAAAAAUGUAAAGAGCUAAAUUUUUGCAGCAGCAAAACACAUGGCUACAUUUGUGUGCUAGAAAAAAAAGUGAAGUUGUCUAUUUAGUAUAAAUUUACAGUUGUUACAUUUGUGCUUAUUUCUUCAAAAUAUAUGAUUUUGAAUGUCAGUGUAAAAUUUCACCAUAUUCUCUUAGGAUUUGAGAAGAAAAAAUACAUUAAGAGCACAUUGGCAUGCUUCAUACAAAAGUCAAAUGGAGGGGCUGCUUUGUCACUGUAAAUUUCUCCAUGCUAGUUUUUGGUCACAUGAUAAAGUCUCCUUCAAAAUGUAAAGAGCUUAUUUUUGCAGCAGCAAAAACAUGGUUACAUUUAUGUGCUGGACAAAAGUCAAGGUGUCUAUUUAGUACAAAUUUACAGUUGUUACAUUUGUGCUUAUUUCUUCAGAAAAUAUGAUUUUCAGUGUCUACUUGUGUGUGUUGGACAAAACAACUGGUGAUGUUUGAUUCUAUUUCCAAGCUUCCUUACAAUUAUGCUCCAUUUAUGAGACAAAAAGCCAACUAUAAAAAAAGAUAUAUGGUAAAAAAACUAGCCUAUGGCUUCUGAGCAUAAAAUUCAAAAAAUUACUGGGUACAAAACAUCUAUGUAACACCUUGCAUUUUUAGGAUAUAAAACAACUUGUGGUGAUAAGCAUGGAGCAAAAAGAAACAAAAAAUGUAGGAUGCCUCCUGAGAGCAUUUCAAAGAAAAAAAAUGCAAAAAUGGGGACCCUGUAUACAGACCCUUAGGAGAACCUGACACUAAAAUUCAAACAAUGACAACUAUAUCAAAUGGUUUGACACUAAAAUUCAAACAAUGACAAAAUAUAAAAAAUGGUACACACAAUUCUCGUAUCGUAUAUUCAUCACACAGAAAAAUGAGUUGCAUUCAUCUUCAACAAAGAAAAAUGGAAAAAAGGGACCAAAAAAUAUACAUGUGAGGGGACUCAUAACAAUUUCAUUUGAACACACUGUAUUAACAUCCCAAUAAAAGUACCUCCACAAAUUCAUUGAACAAAAUAAACACUGUCGACGUGUCAAAGUGCCUCCAACACGGAGUUGCAACAUUCCCAAACAAUUACAAAAAAGUAAGGUUACAUCUUGGUUACAUCAAAAUGUAAACAACAAAAUCCAUGAUAACAAAUUGCACGAUUUAGCCACCACCAGGAAAACGAGUUCCACCUGCACCAUUUGUCUUUAAUCAAACUUCCAGCAGCUUCCUCAGCUGCUCUACAGGGUCCAAAUUGUUGCUGGGAUGCUUCAAAAUAUUUUCUACAAUUCGUUUCCGGAGAUUGGGGAUGUAAGUCUGACAACAAAAACCACAAGAACACAUAAAUGGGUUUAAUGGAUAGAAAAGGGUCAUAUAAAAAUGUAUGCAUCUAGUACAAAAAGGUAAAACAGGUGUGGGUUACAUCGUCAAAAACUAAACAAAGGGACCAAACCACAACAGAAUAAAGGACUAACAUUUUUUUUCAUUAACUGAACUGAACAAUAUCACGCACACCAUUUUUAGGUACAAUCGUAAAAACUAUAACACGCAAGUAUAAUUCGGUACCUCAUUGAAAUGCAUCAUGACAACACCAAUGUAGUUUUCCAAGUAUAGAAUUGCAUAGGAGCCACAAUUAUAACUGAAAACACUAAAACAAGAAAAUAUAAGUUUUUCAAAAUAAGAUUCAUGCCCAACAUAAUCAAUGCAUCCAUCCCUUGUUGCACACAUAUGAAACAGUUGUCCCAUUCACAAACUCUUGAGAGAUUAAAUCAGGGAUAAGCCUUACUGUGUUUCUUGUGUUAGGUAAACUUGGGUGAAAAUCUCAAAGAAAUUCAGAUCAAAUUUGAAUGCGGAUUCGCGGUUUGCAACCUUUUUUAUGUUGGUGCUCUGAUUGGAUGCAACACAAAACAAUAGUUCAAAAAAUGCUAUUCUGGUGUUUGAAUCAUACUGAUUUUGAAACAAAAAGUGAUCAUACAAAUAAAUAUACUAGGUUGAUCACUCCCGGAAAAGAUAGGUAGAAAAAUUCAUUACCACAUUGUUGGUUGCAUUCUUGAGCAAUGUAACAUCCUCGGAAUUCUUUAUAGAGUCAAAGACAUUGAAUUGUUUAUGCAUCAAGUUAGCAACAACUACAGCCCAAUGCCUGUUUUGGAUGACAACAACGAAAAGCUGCGAUGGAACAAAAACCAACUACAAGUAAAAAAAACAGGCUUGACAUAAAAUAAGAUAAACACAACAUAUGGCGCAAGAUGAAACUUACUAGAUCAGAUUUUGUAAUCUGGUUAUUUUCGCAAGCCCUUUGGAACUCUCUUUCGCAAAUUUUGGGACUGAACAAGCCAGGAUCCACUACCAAUUGAGUCUAAGAAAAAAGAACGAAUUGGAUACUCAUUACCACUAAUUGUGUCUAUAGUGUGCAAAAACAAGUGAAAAAUAAAUAAGAUAAGCAAUAUGUGGGAAACACUAACCCCCAUGAAGACAGAGAAUGCAAACUUCUUUGGCUUCUUCCUGUUGUACAUUUUCUCCACGUUGGAUGUUUUUAGAUAGAGUGUUAUUAUCUCGGAGUCAAUGUCAGCUCGUGGAUUUAAGGGAGCAUGGAAGUUCUCAAGUGAUGUGUGAAAACCCUCUAUUUCAAUGAAGUCAGGACUGCAAACAAUAAAAAUAUAUUAGCAUAGAAACAGUUGGAAAACACAAAAUAUUUUACUACCUUUGAAAACCCAAUGACCACACCAUAUGUUGCGAUGAAAAUGAAAAAAAUACAAGGGAUAAAUGAGACUCACUCGGUUUGUCGGGUUUUGUUUUUGGUAUCUUGUACCUGCUCAAAACGUACUGCUGGUACAAUGCAUCAUCUUUUGGCUCAAUCUUGAUCUUCUUCAUCUUUUGAGCACCAACAAGGGGCUGGUAUGUUCUCUUCUUUACUGCCUUCUUCACAUGUUUGCUUCGUGCGCUGCUGUCAUUAACAAUCUUCACAAGGCGAUCAUGCAACUCUACAACAGUUUGGCCUUGUUGCACCGGCACAAGGACUAAAACAAUAUGAAGAGAGAAAAAACAUAAGUAACUCCGAAUCAACUACAUGAUACAUGAUAUUCAAAUAAAAGCUUCAAGCAUAAUACAUGGCCAAAAAAGGGACAAACCUGGAGAUACAAGUGAAUAUGCAAAUGCAAGUGGAGAUGAUUGUCUCGUUAUGUCAACGGGCCUUGGAGGCUUUGGUUCAUUGUCAAAGAAAGGACCGUCUCCAUUGUUUUGCGCUAGAAGCUUUGUGUUGUUGCCCUACAUUGCAUGCUUUGGGGUGUUGUCAUAUGUAGGUCCUGCUGAAACAUGGGUGGGAGUUUCCAUUCCCUUAUUUGCUUCCUUAUACUUCCUUGCCGUGUAAUCAUCCAUAUUGAGACAUUCGAAAUCGUCAGUUCCCUCUUUGAACAGGCUCAUUGAUGGACCAUCAUCAAACUCCAGGGCAGGUCCUUGGAAUGCAAACACCGUGUUGUGUGAUAGAAUAACACUCUCACCCUCAUCAACAUCAUCUGGAUCUUUCAAAUAUCCCUCUACAACUUCAGGACCUACUAGCUUCUCACGUUCUCCAAUAACAGGUCCUUCCUGCGCAUCUUCCAUCCCUUGAAAACAGCAACUCUGCAUUUUCUCCAAGCCAAUGUCCUGCUGUGCUUCAUGCUGGUUGGUGUUGGUACAACCUGCAACUUCCCUAUCUACAUCCACUUCUUGUGGUGCAUGACUCGUGUGAGCUUCAGGGCUAGUAUGGAUGGGAGCCCUGGUGUGAUCUACGUCUGCUCCAUUGCCCGCUGGAGCAUGAAAUGUAAGAUCUUCGGGCAGAUGAUCAUUGUUGCUUGUUGUAGUGGCGUUAUCUUCGACCAAAAUAGAUGCCAAACGCUUACAGAACAUUUCUUCCAGAAUGUAGCCAAAUGAUUUCAAAACCUUCUUAACUUCUGUUGCAUGCAACUUCUUGUGCUUAUCGUAUAUUGGUAUCAUGUGGCUUGUGAUCUGUUUCAAAGGAAAGAACAAAUGAAAAUAGAUGAAAAUAUUUUAGUUCACCCUCAACAAUGAAAAGCAGGCACACACAACAAAAAGAAUAUACAAAAAAUAAGGAAUUGCAACAACUAUUUGGUGGAAAAAAUGAUGAGAAGCUCAUGAAAAAAGUGCUUACCUCCAAUUCUUCACUUGAAGGCGGUGGAUGCAGCCACGCAUCUAGAGAGCCACAGACAUCACCGCCAACCUCACAUCAAUUAAUUGGUAGGUUGCUUGGUAUAUCGGGGAUGUGUGCAUCUGGCCCAACAAACUUGUUGUUUUGAUGUCGAGUUUCAUUGUAGCCCUCUAGCCGUACGUACGACGUCUCUGCCAAACAAUGAAGCUGUGAAAGCUAGUGCAUAAAAAGGUUAAAACCGCAAUCAAACAAAAAAAGAUUGAAAAAUAUGAAAAAAUAGAAGGAUAAUGAGCUCUUACAUUCUGUUUUCCAAAAUCAAUCUUAUCUAGGCUUAGCUUAUUCCUAUCAAUUUCUCCUAUCAACUUAAAGUCGUCAUUGCAAACGAAGCAAGACCUUGGGAGAGAGUAAUCAAUUCUAUGCUCGGAAGCCAGCAAACGAGGCACCUCGACAAACUCCAUGUAAAUAAUCUGAAUAAAACAUAAAAAUAACAUUGUGAGACAACCUGUCAUAGAUGGAUACUGCAGCGCAAAAAUAAAUGAAACAAAAAACAAAGACAAGAAGCAAGCUCAUGGGCCAUACCGCGAACAUUGGUAGACAGCCACCGAUCUAGAAGGCAGUUUUCCCUUCAUUCCUCUUCUUUUGAUACUUCUUGACCUCAUUCAAUGCAACAACCAAGAAAUGCUCAUCCCAAGAGAACUAAUUGAUACUGUCCAUGUCAACCAAGCUCGCAAGAUACUCUAGAGGAACCAUGUUGCCGGUACCAGGAGAAAGCAUAAGAACAAUACACAAUAGUACGCAUGCCCUCUUUACAGUAACAACAUCAAGAACGUCUUCACCUUCAAGCACUUUGAUAGUGCGCCUUGUUGGGGCCCUCGACCCAACUCGAUAUGGUUCACGCAACACAUGUGGUUCAUUCCUCCUUAACAACUCGGCUGCCCUUGACCCAGAAGGUACAUUGAUUUUCUUUUGCACCAUGUCUUUUGUAAACAAUAUGGAUUUUUGUGUGUGAGUGCAGCAAGUAGAGCAAAAAGUUGAUCCUAUAAGAAACAAAACCUAUUGCAAGAAAAAGGUAGGAAAAAAGAUGAUAUUCAAGAGGAAUAUGCUUGAAAAAUGCAUACCUAAACAACGCCUUCUCUGGAUCAAUUUUCAUGACUACGCAAUCUAGCAGACCAGCGGGUACAGAAAAAGAGUUGAUAUUCAAGAGGGAACCAAAACUGCAUAGGCCUAUAACAUCCUUCUUUUUUUGGGCUGACGAUCCGCAAUCUGGCGCUAGCGGAUGGCUAAGAAACGCGUUGAAAAUGACCCAUCAGCAGCAGGGCAUUCGUCGUCAUCCAUUCUGCAAAAACAGAAGGAAUAACAAAAAACUAAGUUAUAAAAACAGAGAAACUGGAAAAAAACAUAAUAAGAAUUACUCAAUUAAUUUCCUCAUAAGAGUUAGUCAACUAAUUUCACUAAAAAUGAAUAAGAAUGACUAUUGCAACGUGACUAUUUAACUCAGUCAACCAAAUGCCUGUGUCGAUGGCCACAUCUUUUGUGUCAUUUAGCGAUAAACAUGGGGUUGAAACGGAGCUUAGCUUGCUGAAAGAAACAGUUGAAAAUACUCCCGUGUAAAAGAUCCAUUCUUUGUUUUUUGAUGUAGUAGAGGAUUGCUUCCAAGAGGGAAAAAUACUCAAGUCACAUAUUCACACUAACCGUUGAUACAGAAACUGAUAAGCCAAUAGGCGUAAGUAGAUAAGAUGAAAAAAGUGAAGUGUGUGUGCAUUUGUAGGAACCUAUUGUGAUAAAUGUAGCAGGUUUUUGUGUUUCAAAUGCAUCAGAUAAACAUCAUGAUGGACUGGAGUGUUCUUGUAAUGGAAAUGCUUUCUUCUUUUUAUCAACAAAUUUGGUCAAACUACAUAGAAGGGGCAACUCAAUCACUAUAAAUCUGUAAAACGCUAUUAACAUUGAAAGGUAGAUGGUUUAUUUUGCACAAACUACAUGAUAUUUUUUUGUUAUCACUAUGGUGAUAUCUUCCCAUCGUCACCAGGUAAACUAGUCAAGGGCACUGAUGCCACUGCCAGGCACUAACAUGAGAAUCGAUCCAUUUCUGCGAACGGACACGAAACUAUAAUAAGUUUGCUCAAGAUCGGCUAAAAGCAUUAAGAUAUGCAAAGCAUAGGCGUGGACCCUAACAAGGCACGAGAACAUCAGUUAAGCAUCUACAUACAUGGUUGGCACUAGAAUGUUACACAUAUACUAGGAAACACUAGCUGUGAAAAUGGAUGGAAUGCUCUUUUCGGUAACAGGGUCGAUCCACGCUAGCAUGUGGUUGGCAUUUCGCUGAGCGGUGGUUCGUGAGGAUGUAGUUGCUGCCGGCAUCGAGCUUGCAGACAGCUCCAGCAUUCCUCCUGCCGUGCUCCUCAAACCUCCCCCACCCCCAUCCACCCCAAGCCCAGAAACACUAGUUGCAUCCAUCGUCGCCACAGUGAAUCCACCGCGGAGGGCAGGACGCCGACGAUCGCAACACCAACCCUCGGAGCAACUCCUCCCUACCAAAAACUACUCAGAUCCACGAGUACCACCCCAUCCUACACCUACCCAAGGUCCUCCACCAUCCACCCCUCUCAAAAUUCUCCGAUUCCUACCAUGCACAUACGGGGUCUAGAAAAAAACCGACCUCGGCUCUGGGUCGUCGCCGGCCAUGGAGCGUGAAGAAGAUGCGCGAGUAGUCGCCCCCUCUCUGCCUGCCGGCACCACCGCUCCCUUGCCCAGCUGCCGCGCCGACCGUCGCAUCCGCCACUUGUGGAUCCAAAUUGGAGCAAGAGAUAAGAAGGGAAGGGAGGAAGAGGAGGAGGGAACGUUGCAAUGCUCCGGGCGAGCUGCAAUGUAGCGGGGUGGACUCUGGUGGACCAAACCACCUGGUCGGUGCGACGUGUGCUCCAACAUGGUCGGGGACUCAGGGCUGCCCAUUCUCUGGAUGGAGUGAUUUGAGCCAUCUGAUUUCAUUCGAUCCAAUGGCACAUGAGCCGGUUUACGGAAUGAACAGAUCAGUCGGCUGAUCUAGAGCGUUUUCCAUACAAAUAGGUCCAUCAAGGCCGAGUCAUUACAUAAAUACGACCUCGAAGGCCGACACCCUAAUAUACUACUAAAUGCGGAUAAUCAGAGGAUAACGUGAACCCAUGCCAUCCGCCUUAACCUACAGGCAUUCUGAUUGGGAAACGUCCUAGAUCGCAUGUCCAUCCCCGACGAACUCUUCUCCGAACUCCGGUUCAUCCAUGCCUGGCCAAUUAAAUAACUAGUGGCAAGCCAAUGAGUACUUUCAAUGUACUCGCAAGCAGCCCAUGAUAUGGAACAAGGCAUAAUGAGAUGUGACAUAAUACUAGCAUGCUGGUUUCUUGGAGAAAGCUGGUUUUUCCUAGUGCAGCAUCAUGAUCAAAUUCUUGGGCGGCAAGCACCACAAGGCAUCAGGGUGACUCGAUGAACAUGUUACAUAUAUUAAUAUCAACUGAGGGUUAGACAUCCCAUGUCCACCCAUCAUGCCAAGCCUCCUAACUCAGCUUGAUCAUCACGUCUCCCCAUGUCACCAUCUUUGCUCAUUUUUAACCCAGACACACACACCCUUGGUUUAUGCGGAAAUGACUAGACGUAGUUUAAGCAGGAUUACCCAACUGUCAUUGACCGUGGACACGGCUAUUCGAAUAGUUUUACACUCUGCAGAGGUUGCGUGUUGUACCCACAAGACUCAGGGAACUUCCAUGUCAUCCAUGACUCACGGUAUAUAACAUACCCGAGGUAAGCACCCAAACAAUGCCUUUCCCAUGGCAACACUAAACAAAGAGUCCACUCCUUUUGUACACAGACCACAUGAUGUACAUCUUACAGGCCUCGCUCUAGAUCGUAUCAUCCAUGCAAGGACGAACAGUGUGCCUGGAAUCUAUAAAAAUAGUGUAGUCGUCCUUCCUGGCACGACCCCGUCCCGAGAGUGACCACGUCACUCUCGUCACUAGUAAUGUGGGCUCUCUACUAGCAUCGAGCAAAGUAAUCAACAGAGCUCCGUCGCACAUGUAAGGUUGGUACGGUCGACACAUCUUCAAUCUAAUCCCAUUCCGGAAAUCACGCACACAAAAUCUUUCUUCGCUUCUUUCUCAAGUGGUCAUCCAUCUCACGCCAUCACCCUCGGGCAUUAGUGCCACCCAACGGUUUUUUUGAAAAGCCUUUGUAUCACACCCUUCAUCAUUAUCAUGCAUAUACACAUCCCCUUCUUGCGUAGCAACUACUAACAACUAUCUACACCCCCACAUGAAGAACCCUUAUAGAUGGUAGGGUCAUGCCCAAAUGAAAGUUUCAACGAGGUGUUCUUCGGGGACAACCCAACAAAAGGGGUCUCCGAUACAACAGGCAUGUAUGCAUAAGUAGACAUCAUAUGACAUGCAUGUAGAAGUUUUUGAGGCAUGGUAAAGGGCUACUUGCCUUGGUCAGCAAAGUCUUCGGGUCCAACUCCUUCAUCAACCACAUUAUCUAUCAUCGUGAUAGUUAUGGCAAUAAUAAGAACCAUAAGAAAAACAGAGCACAAAACUCACUCCUAAAAUGUUAAUGAAAGCACAAUUUCUCUCUAGGGUGGUUUUGAUAAUUGAUCACAACAUAUGCAUCAUUGGACUAAUGUGUUUUCCAAGUAUAUUUCAGAAAAGUUCAAAAUAUGCUAUGGCUUAAGAUUUUUGUGGAGAUGCCCCUGGAUGCAAGCAAGGAAUAAUAUUGGCUCAAGCUUCAAACUAGAAGACUCUUCAUUUUAUAUUUGUGAGAAAUUUAUUUUUGAGUCCAUAGGAAAGACAAUACUAUUAAAAGGUGCUGAGGUAUUAAAAUGAAAUGAUUGUUCAAAUGCUCAAAGUUAGCCACCAAAACACUCAGUCAUUUUCCCACAUAUCCACUGUGUCAAGUUCCACAUUCACAAAUUCGAUGUCACCAACAUUUCCACAUCGGACCCAUCGAGUUUGAACCUCAGACAAAACCCUAGCCGUUCUCACCACAUCGGUGCAACCGAAACUGCAUGAGUGCUAUCGAGUUUGGGUGAUCAACAGUUUGUUGCCAAGAUACACAAAAUCGGAAUUUCUAAGUUUGAGUAUCGGUGCCACCAAGUUUGGCCAUCUGACCGUUAUUCACCUUUUCGGUGCCACCGAGUUGUAUAUAUCGGUCUCAUCGAGAUUCAAAAGUUCACACUUUUAGUUCUAGUCGGUACCACCGAGUUUCCAACUUUGGUGUCAUCGAGUUUGCUCUUUUGUGUGUAACGGUUGGAUUUUGGCUGCUACCUAUAUAUACCCCUUCACCCCACCUCUCAUUCGUGGGAGAACCACUCAGAACACACACUUCAUUUCCAGAUCCAUUUUCUGAGAGAGAACCACCUACUCAUGUGUUGAGACCAAGAUAUUCCAAUCCAAUCAUUUGAAAUUUGACCUCUAGUCUCCCCAAACUGCUUUCCACCAAAUCAACCUCUCCUGCCCAUGCAUAUUCUAUGAGAGAGUGAUUUGUGUUCAGGACACUAUCUUUAGAAGCACAAGUGCAAGGAGUUCAUUGAUCUACCCCAUCUAUUACCUUUUGGAAGGUGGUGCCUCCUAGAUUGGUUAGGUGUCGCUUGGGAGCCUCCUACUUCGUGUUGUGGAUUUGAACCAAGAUGUUUGUAACGGCAAGGAGAUCGCCUAAUUCGUAAAGAUAUACCAUGAGUAAGGCUAGUCCUCCGUGGGCGGAAGCCGUGGUGGGAUAGACAAGGCCGCUUAUUUGUGGACCCUUCGUGGGUGGAGCCCUCCAUGGACUCUUGCAGUCGUUACCCUCCGUGGGUUGAAGUCUCCACUAACAUGGACGUACGAUAGCGCCACCUAUCGGAACCAUGCCAAAAAUCAUGGUGUCAACCUCAUGCGUUUGAUCUCCCUACCUUACUCCUCUAUUUACACUUGUAUGUUGAGUUCUCGCUGCUAUACUAUUAGAACUGCAUGUGUAGGGUGUACUUGACUUGUUAUAACUUCUGUAGCUGACUCUCAAGUGAAACUGGGAAAAGGCAAAAAAAAAUAUCUUGCCAAGUAGUCUAAUCACCCCCGCUCUAGACAUACUUUCGAUCCUACAAGUGGUAUUAGAUCUUCGGUCUCCAUUUCAUUGGUUUAACAACCUAAGAGAGUAUGGCAUCUAGUGAGGGAAAUUAUCGUCGUAGAGGUCCUUGCUUCGAUGGCACUAAUUUUGCUAGUUGGAAGCAUAAAAUGAAAAUGCAUAUACUUGGCUUUAAUCCUCAUGUUUGGGAUGUUAUUUGUGUUGGUGUGCAAGGUAACUUGUUUGGAGAUGGGCAUGAACGAGAUCGUGAUACGACAACUGAUGAACUGAAGAUGUUGCAACUUAAUGCUCAAGCCUGCGAUAUCAUCUUCAAAUGCCUUUGCCCUGAAUAAUUCAACAAAAUCAAUCGUCUUGAGAAUGCAAAAGAAAUUUGGGAUACUUUGGUUUAUAUGCACGAAGGUACUAAUUCUGUCACAGAAUCUAAGUUAAAUGUGCUUCAAAGUCAGCUUGACAAGUUCAGGAUGAAGGAUGGUGAAGGAGUCGCUGAAAUGUACUCUAGGCUAGCUCUCAUCACCAAUGAUAUUGCCGGCUUAGGAAGCGAAGAUAUGACCGACAAAUUCAUCAUCAAGAAGAUACUUAGAGCUCUGGAUGGAAAGUAUGACAGAGUGUGCACAUUGAUCCAAAUGAUGCCAAAUUACAAAGAUCUCAAGCCAACUGAAGUCAUUUGUAGGAUUGUUGCUCAUGAGAUGUCACUUAAGGACAAAGAUGAGUUGCACAACAAGUCAAGCGAUGCUUAUAAAGCUUCAUGUGAUGCUCCCGCUACUUCAAAAGACAAUCUUGUCACUGAUGAAGAGAUAAGCCUCAUGGUCAGAAAAGUCAACAAGUUCUACAAGAGUAGAGGCAAAGAUAGAAGAUCAAGUUCAAGACAUGAUGAGAAGCGUUCGUCCAGUCAUGAUUAAACUGCUACAAUUGUGGGAAGCUCGAACACUACUCAAAUGAGUGCUCGGCUCCCUACAAAAGAUGAGAAGAUUCACCUCGAAGAAGAAGCUCAAGAGAUGAGUCACCUCAUAGGGAGAGAAGGAGUAGAGAAGAUCACUAUGAAUGAAGACACUUACGAAGAUGCAAGGAAUCGGACAAGAAGGACAAAUACACCAAGAGAAGUUCAAGAAGAAGACAUCAAGCUCAUGUUGGCGAAUGGGUCUCGUGCUCCGAGUCUGAUCAUCACUCCGAGAGAAGCUAUCACUACAACUCUGACUAUAAUCAAGAUGAAGAUGUUGCCGCGAUUGUGCUUGUUUCCACCAACUCCUAGGACUUAUUUGAUUCACCAAAUGAGGGAGUCGGAAAGUGCUUCAUGGCUAAAGGACCCAAGGUAUCACAUCGUGAGUAUCUUGAUUUCAAUAGUGAUGAGGAUGACUUGUUAGGAGAAGAUGACUUGCUUAUAGAUAAAACUAGUGCAUGCAUUGAAAAUUAACUAGCUAUUUAUCAUGUUAGUCAAUAGAAAUCGAAUGAUGACGAUAAGAAUGAAAUUGAAUGACUAACUCAAGAAUUUAAAACUCUUAAGUUAGCUCAUGAGACUACUCGAGAACAUCAUAGAGAGCAUGCAAGAACCCAUGAGAAGCUACACUUCGAGAAUCUCAACUUCGAGGAGGAGCAUGAGUUCUUAAAAGAAAUCAAUGAUGAUCUUCAGAAGAAGAUCUCUUCUUAUCCAACCAAACGAUUAAUCUUGUCUAACUUUGUUCCACAAGUUAAACCUAGGAACACUAGUAACAAAUGCAAGAAGGAUUCUUCAUCUAGUAACAACAAUGCUAAAGCUAAAUCCAAUAAUAUUGUUGCUAGUAACUCUAUUGAUUGCACUACCGAUUCUCUUAGCCAAGUUACACUUGAGCAAGAAAAUGAUCUAUUGAAAGGAAAUAUAGAGAGAGGUUUCUUCAAGAGUCUUGUCGGAUGUAAGAAAUUUGAGGAAAUUGUGCGCAAGCAAGGAGGACAUCGGAAGAAACAAGGUGUUGGAUACUUCAAAGUCAACGAAGAUGUUUGCGAAGAAGGUCCAUAUCCCACUCCCAAGUUUUUCCCCCAAGAAGAGAAGUGUGAUUCCACUCCUUCCGAAGGAACAAGCUCACAAGAUGGCCUUCUACCACAAUACCAUAGAUGCAAGGAAAACCUUCAAGAUGACAUUGACCUAUUUGAAGAAGAAUCCCAAGCCAAGGUCAAGUGGAUUCCCAAGGAUACUACUAGAUCUACCUCAACAAGUGCUGCCACAACUCCAAGGAUUCCCAUCAAUUUGGUGUGGAUUCCCAAGAGGAAGAACUAUAAGUUCUUGAGGGUGACUCUGCCAAUGAAAUUCACUCCUUUUCAUUUUGGCAAGAACUAUUUGCAAUCAACCUCAACCAUAUGCAUUAGUUCAGGGAGUCACACAUUACCUCAAAGGUAAGCAAGGAACAAGGUAAUUAAUGCAUCUUUGGACAUUAUCCCAUGUGUUCUUCACUCCAUGCCCAUAGAUAUUAUUAUAUAUGUUCCUUUUGCUUUGGGACUAACCCACUUAGGUGAUAGGAGUAUGAAAACAACAAGGAUUGCUCCCAACUCAAGAUGAUCUUCAUCAACAUUGAGCAUCCACCACUAGUUCACCUACUUGAAGUCUUCUAUGACAAAACCCAAGGUUAGUUGAUCCCUCUUAGUGGGGAUAUUAUAUCAAGGGGGAGCUUUACUCUAAGACUUGAGUCUAAGCAUCUCCUAAGGAUACGGACACAUUAAUGCUUAUGUAAAAGUGGCAACCCCACUUGUGCUUAACAAUGAGUAUCACCUAUGAUCAAGUAUUCUUAGUUGGCUCCUAUGCCAAUAUACUCAUAUAUAGAUGACUUUGUCAUCGCCCAAGUGCUUGAUAGCCACUAGGAUGUUUGUGCAUGUUCACCAUGUUUUAUUCAUUAUUCUUAUUGUGCGAGCAUGUUGGUGUGCAUGUGUUUGAUCAUUCGAGGACAUCCAAUUGUCGUUAUUUGGCUUUUUAUUUAUCUUUUGCCAAUUGGAUGGACAAGAAUGCCUAGGACCCUUCUCUAUCUAUCUAUGCUAUCUCAUCUCAACUUAUAUUCAUGCUUCAUCAAAAAACUUGAACAAGCACUUGUCAAUCCCUCUGUGUGAAGGUGCACUCGGAGUUCCGUAUCAUCAAAGGAUGCCUUCCAAAACCUCUUUGAAAAACUUGGUGUGACCAACUCCACAAACUCGGUGCCACCGAUUUUUCAAAGUUGACCAGGUUUUCCUAUCUCGGUACCACCGAAAUCGCCAACUCGAUUACACCGAGUUUCCCUGUCUACUGAUAGUUUAGGAACUCGGUGACACCAAUUUUGCCAUCCCGGUGACACCGACAGCACACAGGUAUAUAUAUCUGCAGACUGAAUCCUUUGAUUUCACUUCGUCAAAACGGUUCGUUCGCCAAACCCUCACUGACCCCAAGACCCUAGGUCAUUGCCUUUGUCUCCCCGAGCGCCGCUGCACCUAGGAUUGCUGCAGUUGACGCAAUCUAAUCCUCCAUCAUCGCCGUAGACGAACCGCCACCCAGCUAGGGUACGGUUUGAUCUCCUUUAUGUUUCCCCGUCCGAUUCUCACGCAUUGGAAUACUUAUUCUUCAUACCAGAGUGUGCAAACCUCGUAUGCACAAGAUGAAUCCUUAGAUUAGUAGAAGUAGGAAAUUUCAGAUCUGAUCUGUCGCAGUAUGCAACUCGGUGAGACCGAGUUUGUAAAAUCGGUUAAACCGACUCUUGUUUUAGGUUCCUGAGAAAGAACUCGGUGAGAACGAGAAGCUCUUUUCGGUGCCACCGAAAAUGACUUCCAAGUUUCUUUUAAGCGAGUAAGAUUUCUCGGUGACUCCAAAUAUGCCAACUCGGUGCCACCGAUUUACAUCGUGCACAAGAUCAUACCCUAUGUUUUAGACUUCAAAUUUUCGAAAAAUAUCUGUAUUUUGUGAUGCUCAUCCAUUCUGUGUUCCUAUAUCCACUUCACUUGUUUUGUUGUUUCCUGUCGAGUGUGUCUGUCAGUAUGUCAGGUUUAGAUGAUAGUCAGAAUGAUUUCAAGGAACCAAGUGUUGCCUUGGAUGCUGGCACUAGUCCAUAGAGGACAUACUCUGACCCUAGAUCAUAUAGCUCCCAUGGCUUGCCGAAGGCAGCCACCAGGCAGAGAAGGAAGCUAAAUUCUAAUGAGGAGGAUUCAGACUUUUUGCCUGAAGAGACUUCAGCUCCUUCGAAGUCCCCUCCUAAGAAGGCUGUAAGGAAGUUCACUGCUACUCCAGCUGAUCUGAGAGCACCUAUCCCAGGAAGAGCACUGGGAUUUCCAAGGAUGCGCUUGCAAAGAAAGCUGGUGUUAAGAGGCCGAGGAAGAGAACUUUCCGUCUUGUUGACAGAAAAACUUCCAUGUGUGAAGAUCCAGAAGCUGAUGAGGAAGAAGCUCCUAAGGAGAACCAAGUUCCUCCUCCGAAGAAGAAGUUGAUGGCUGACGCCAUGAAAUCUGCUCCUAAGCCUGAUGCUAAACCAAAGAAGGCUCUAGCUUCCAGGAAGACCACCAAAGACAUACCUGCAACUGCCAAAGCAAAAGGCCCUCAAUCCAGUGCCCCUGCUGUAGAGGAAGAACCAGAUGAGAAUGCUCCAGUUCUCAGGAAGCUCAAACCAUUCCUUCCACUCCACAAUGCUACUCAUCCUAUAGUAGAGGAUAUGAAGAAGUGGAAGGAUGUCAGACUAAGAAACUGGAGAUCCCUUGAUCCAUAUGCUAUCAGGAGAAGAACUAUUGUUGAUCCAAGGUUCCACACCAAGGAACAACAAGACUUUUAUGAGACUAUCUUAUUUGACAAAAGUCCUGCUGUCAGUGAUAUGAGGUAUGUCAGUUGGGCAUACAUAAAGGAUAAUGAAGAUUUCUUUCCACGUGUCUAAGAGAACUUCAAGUCAGUGGACAUUGAGCCAUUUGUUGGGAAGGAGAUGACCCCAUGGAAUGAUGAGCUAAUCAUGCAAUUCUAUGCAUUUGUGCACUUUUAUGAAGAUUCUUUAGGAUGGAUGAUUGAUGGACACAGGUACGAAGCUACAAAUGCUGAAUGGGCUGCUAUUAUUGGUGUUCCCGAGCACGAAGAAUCAUAUGUAGAUGUGUAUGCAGACGCUAAGCAGAAUCACAACUCCAUGGCCAAUAUGUACAAGAACAUUCCACAUCAGUACGUGGCUAGUCACAAGCUUGGUUUAGUGUAUUUUCUUCAAGCUAGCAUUCUCAUGACGAACACAAUACUGCGAUACACCCUCAUGCCUAAGUCAGGUGAUGAGAAGAUGAUCAGAAGAUAUUCUAUCAACCUGCUGCACCUCAUAGACACACUUACCAGAUUUAGAAUGAUGGACUUGAUAGUUGAGACUAUCCGGAGAACUGCUGCAGAUCAGAAGAGAUCCUGUGAGUAUGCACCUUACAUUCAGAUGCUCAUCAAUGCAAAGCUAGGCAAACAUGCAUAUCUACUUGAUCGUCCGCAUCUACCUCUUCAGCCUAAAUUUGAAGAUAAUGAGGUUUUGAUUGAUGACAAUGAUCCCAAGUCAGUUGCAGCAAGAAUGGAAGCAGAUGCAGCAAAGUCUGAAGCUGCUAGAAAUAGGCCACCUCCAGUUCCACAACUCAGAAACCCAGCUAAGCAAAUGGCAUUUCUAGUGAGCACUGUCCAAGGCAUGGAUAAGAACAUCCUAUAGAUCAUGCAAAAUAAGAAGAGUCUUGAGAGACUUGUGGAGACAAAAUUCCAUAACAUGGAUGUGAAGGUAACUGAGUUGACCACCAUUGUCAUACAGCUUCAACGUGAUGUUGACUCUAUAGAUAUUCCACGCUUAGAGGAUGAACAUGUAGAUGAUGAUGAUGAAGAGGAUGAGUCUCCUGCUCCCACUACUACUAGGUUCAGCACCAUGCCUCGGUCAGCUGCUAUUCCAGCUCAGGAGACAGGUCAGACAUCUUCAACACAAGCUUCAACACCUUUAGCACCAGCUCCAUAUCAAGCACCUCCAUUAUCAACUCGUCAGGCUCUAGGGACAUCAGCAGACGACUUCAUGGACGCUGUUCUAUCGACUCCAUCAUCAGCUCCCGAGAGAGACGAUUAGUUCUAUACUUUUGAACUGUUUGGUACCUUAUUGCCAUAGGGGGAUAAAGGUAUAGACCAUAGACUUCGUGUGAGAGAGAGCUUUUGACUUCAUUUGCUAUCAUUUGGUUUUAAAAACUUUAGUUGUUGGGUGCUUUUAUCCUAUCUGUGUGAUUGAUCAUACGCUUUAUUAUGUGUGAUGCUACGAUAUAUCUUGUUGGUGUCAUGUGCGUUGCUAUUAUUUUUACACACCACCAAGAUGUAUGUGGCAUGAAAGAGUAACCCAUGAUCCUAAUCGAUUGUGCAUUUGCAUUCAAACGCAAAUUUUAAAUAAUGCACAAAUUUAGGGCGAGCUGUUGCUUUUCACAUACUUCUCAAAGCGUCGAUACUAAUCAUUGAUUAUAUCUUUUGUCGAAGCUUUGAUCUAUAUGUUGUCAUCAAUUACUAAAAAUGGGGAUAUUGAAAGCACAAUUGCUCACUAGGGUGGUUUUGAUAAUUGGUCACAACAUACGCAUCAUUGGACUAACGUGUUUUCCAAGUAUAUUUCAGAAAAUUUCAAAAGAUGCUGUGGCUUAAGGUUUUUGUGGAGAUGCCCCUUGAUGCAAGAGAGAAUAAUAUUAGCUCAAGCUUCAAUCUAGAAGACUCUUCAUUUUUUAUUUGUGAGAAAUCACUUUUUGAUUCCAUAGGAAAACUAAUACUGCUAAAAGGGGGUGAGGUAGUAAAAUGAGCUGAUUGCUCAAAUGCUCAAAGUUAGCCACCAAAACACUCGGUCAUUUUUCCCACAUAUUUACUCUCUCAAGUUCCACACUCACAAAUUCGGCGUCACCAACAUUUCCACAUCGGACCCACUGAGUUUGAACCUUAGAAAGAACCCACCAUUCUCACCAAAUCAGUGCAACAGAAACUGCAUCGUUGCUGCCGAGUUUGGGUGACCAACAUUCUGUUGCCAAGAUACCAAAAAAACAGAAUUUCCGAGUUUGAGUAUCCGUGCCACCGAGUUUGGCCAUCUGACCAUUAGUCACCUUUUCGGUGCCACCGAGUUGUAUAUAUCGGUCUCACCAAGAUUCAAAAGUUCACACGUUUAGUGCUAGUCGGUACCAUCGAGUUUCCAACUUCGGUAUCACCGAGUUUGCUCUUUUGUCCGUAACGGUUGGAUUUUGGUUGCUGCCUAUAUAUACCCCUUCACCGACCUCUCAUUCUUGGGAGAAGCACUCAAAACACACACUUCAUUUCCAGAUCCAUUUUCUGAGAGAGAACCACCUACUCAUGUGUUGAGACCAAGAUAUUCCAAUCCAAUCAUUUGAAACUUGAUCUCCAGCCUCCCCAAACUUCUUUCCACCAAAUCAACCUCUCCUACCCAAGCAUAUUCUAUGAGAGAGGAGACUAUCUUUAGAAGCACAGGAGCAAGGAGUUCAUUGAUCUACCCCAUCUAUUACCUUUUGGAGGGUUGUGCCUCCUAGAUUGGUUAGGUGUUGCUUGGGAGCCUCCUACUUCCUGUUGUGGAGUUGAACCAAGAUGUUUGUAAGGGCAAGGAGAUCGCCUACUUUGUGAACAUCUACCGUGAGUAAGGCUAGUCCUCCGUGGACGGAAUCCGUGGUGAGAUAGACAAGGUCGCUUCUUUGUGAACCCUCCGUGGGUGGAGCCCUUCGUGGACUAUCUCAGGCGUUACCCUCCAAGGGUUGAAGUCUCCACUAACAUGGACGUACGAUAGCACCACUAUCGGAACCAUGCCAAAAAUCACCGUGUCAACCUCAUGCGUUUGAUAUCCCUACCUUACUCCUCUAUUUACACUUGCAUGUUUACUUUCCGCUGCUACACUAUUAGAACUGCAUGUGUAGGGUGUACUUCACUUGUCAUUAGUGUCGUAGCUGCCUCUCAAUUAAAAUUGGGAAAAGGCAAAAAAAUAUCUUGCCAAGUAGUCUAAUCACCCCCCUCUAGACAUACUUUCGAUCCUACAGCUAACCUACUUAGUAAAUUACUAACUUUACAUAUAAAAAUAUUAGUUCCUGAGUUUGGUGUGAAAAAGGUUUUUAAAUCUAUUUUAAGAGAGGCUAAAUAUACUCAAAACUAGGUUCUAAAAUAAAAUUAUGUAUAAAUUGUUUUGUAAAAAUUAGACAAAUAGUUUUAUUAAAUUCUACAUAUUUUUACAAGAUUUAUGGUGGAAAAAUAAUUAGGAUUGGGGAAAUAUUUCUUCCUGUGGAUUUUUUGCAAAAGCCAGAAAAAUAGAAAAAGGAAAAGGGGUCUAACACCCUGGGCGAGACGCGGCCAGCAGCUCGGCCGAUCCAGUCAGCCAGCCCAGGCUCGCACGCGCCAUCAGGUUUGAUCCUGACGCACGAGGCCAAGUGGCCAGUGACUGCAAGAGGGAGAGAGCAAGAGACACUCUGAUCGACAGGUGGGGCCACCCUGUCGGAGUCUUCUUCAACCUCGCGACACAAGUAGGAGGAGAUCACUAGCGUCAGCUCCUUCGAUGGCGACGGGAGGUGAGCAGAGGAAUAGACUCCUCUUGCUCCCGCCGUUCAGGUGAGGGUUGAGGGAGUGGCUGAAGUGGACGGAGUCGCCGCUCACGACAAGGUCGCGGCGGAGGGCGUCGGGAGGUGGUUGGUGCCGACGUUCAAUGAUGGGAAACGAGUGGGGGAAGUGGCGGAGGUGAAGAUAGAGCUUGCUACGGUCACAAUGGAGGUGGAAUGGAGGCCAGAGCGGGCCUGUGUCCCGAGGUCGACGGAGCACCGACGCAACUGUGCCUCGGUCGAUCUCGAGCACUAGUGCUCGGGGAUCUCAAGUGGAGUGAAGGGAUCGUUGAUUGAAGGUGAUAGAGGGGUUCCAAAGGGGGAGAGAGACCGGGGUGGCAUCUAUAUAGAGGGGGUAGUGCGCCAGCGAGGUCUUGGCAAUGGCUAGAGGAGGGGAAACGGCUCGGGAAUGAGUCUAUGGCCUUCGUGGGUGAGGUCUACUCCCAGAUGGAGUGUUGAGGAGGAGCCAGGUUGGCUUUGUGGCGCGUCACGGUGGCAAGCGCCACGUGACUACUUCGGGCGCGCGCGGGGAGGAGAUGCCAAGAGGAGCAGAAAGGGAGAGGGGAGGGGGCCCAUGCAGCGCUGGCUCCGGUCCUCGAGGCAGUCAUAGCUAGACAACAUGUGGGGUGAGGCCUGGCCGGGGUUGGGCUCCUGAGGCUCGAGCAUGCACUAUGGCGCGUCGAGAGCACCGUUUUGGCAUGCCACGACAUGUUGGAGCGCUCUGAUGCACCCCCACCGUGUCUAGUAGUGCCUGAGUGCUUUGGAAAUUCUCCUGCGAUACUUUGGAGCCGAGAGAGGCAUGGAGGUCAAAGAAAAGUGAGGGGCAGGCUGUGCUAGUGAUGAACUAGAAGGGAAAUUGGUCCUUUCGGCUGUAGAUGUGGGGCUAACCCAUAGACUUAUGAUUAAAGUUUGGAGUGAAGGAAGUGAGUAGAAGGGAUGAAAGUAGUUGUUUUACUAAAUCACCAGAAGGUGUUUAAUGCUAUUUUGAGUAAGUUAAACUCCACCAACUAUAGUGACAAUUAACAGGAUUAAAUGAGGGGUAAAAAUAGUAGGAUUCACCUAGUUUGAGCUCAUUUGAGAAUGGUUGUUAAUGUAGACAUGGAAAACCCUAGAAGUAGGUAGAAUCAGGUUUCUAUGAACCAAGGUGAGUAAACCAACUCCCACAAAUGCACAUUUUUGUGUGGCAUCCUAAUUUGGGGGUUGGAUCACUCCUGCAAACUUUGAGAGCAAUUGGACAAACUUGGCAAUGUAGAGUUGUUGCAACUUGCUUCUCGAUAGGAAGGGUUUUGGGUUUAUUUGGUGGAUCAAAUCAAUUUGGAUGAGGAUGAAACCUUGCAGAGGCAUCUCAUAUAACAUGUGGGACAUGCCAGAAUUUUCCUGAAAUUUAUUUAGAAUAUUUCCUUUGGAAAUAUUUCAAAAGCUUGAAUAGGUAGAAAGGGUUUUGAGGGGUUUUGCCCAUUACUUUGAACAUGACCAUGUGUUGAAACUCACAUAUAUGGAAAAAUAUAUGUUCUGUGAGUUUCCCUAAAUUUUAUCAAAUAUUUCUAAUGUAGGAAAAUAAUUUUGCCCUAUGAAAUUAUAUUCCUGUCCUCAGAAAAGGGCAUUUAACUAAAAUAGGAAAAUAACUUUUAAAAUAAUUAUUUUUUGGAUUUGGAAAGUUAUUUUAAUAAUAGAAUUAAAAGAAAAUAUUUGGGGCAAAACAUCUCUCCUAAAUUAGGGACUUGUAAUGCAAAUCCCAAUUCAUGGGUGUUGAAGCUUUAAAACAAAUGAAAGGCUUUUUGUUAAAAUCUGAUUUUCUAAAAAUAGUAUGUGGUCCUAUACACAUGGCAUGAUCAUUGAGCAAAGGUUUGGGGGUAAAAGGUAGAAGAUUUUGGCACAAAGUUGUUUUGGUGAGUUAAAGCACAAUUGAGCACACAAGCAAGUUGCAACCAAUUCAAUCAUCUCAAUCACUAAAUUUUUUUAAUUCAUUCCAAUAUUUGUAAAACAGGAAGUGGCAAAGUGGUACAAACACAUGGUGUGAUAGACCUAGCCCCUUACAAGAAUCACAUUACCGAGAUUCCUAGGCUAAGCGCUAAAAAGACAAGGGAACUCGGAUCUUGAACGGGGCAAUGUAUCUUGGUACGAUCUUCCCCUUGACGUGGAAACACUUUGUUCCCUUGAGAGGUGUGACACGGUGGUAUACGUAGUCUCCUGUGUUGUGCUCCAUUUCAUGAUUGUGGGUAUCGGUGUAGCGCUUCUGGCAUGACUUGGUGGUUUCUAGAUGUUCCUUCACAAGUUGGAGUAGCACUUCAGCUUCACGGAGGAUGUCCGACCAAAUGAUUGGCCCUUCUCCGGUCUCGGACUAGUUGAGGGGAGUGCGACACUUGCAUCCAUACAACACCUCAAAUGGUGACAUCUGGAGGGUGGACUGAUAAUUGUUCUUGUAGAAGAACUUGGUGAAGGGUAAACAGUUGUCCCAUUUGGCUCCAUAUCCCAAAACACAAGCGCGGAAAUAUCCUUGACGAUUUGGUUUACUCGUUCCGUCUGUCCGCGGGUCUAAGGGUGAAAGGCAGUGCUGAAGGAGAGCUUGGUUCCCAUGGCUUCUUCAGAUUUCUUCCAGAAUCUCGAGGUUAACUGUGUGCCCCGGUCGGACACUAUCUCUUUCAGAACCCCGUGCAGACUCACGAUACGCUCGAUAUAGAGACUGGCUAGCUUGUGCCCAUCAUAGGAGGUGUUGAUGCGAAUGUAGUGAGCCACCUUGGUCACGUGAUCGACAAUGACCCAAAUGGAGUCAUGUCCCUUGUUUGAUCGGGGAAGACUGGUGAUGAAGUCCAUCCCGACUCUAUCCCACUUCCAUUAUGUCACCGUGAGAGGUUGGAGCAGCCCAGCAGGUUGCUGGUGCUCAGCAUUGACCCUAUGGCAUAUGUCGCACUUAGCAACAUACGAAGCUAUUUCCCUCUUCAUGCCAUGCCACCAGAACCUUACCUUGAGGUCUUGGUACAUCUUGGUUCCUCCAGGAUGAAUACAAUAUGGGGUGUCGUGUGCUUCUUGCAAGAUCGUGUUCUUGAUGUCAGCUUAGUUGGGUACGCAAAUGCGGCUCCCAAACCACACGACUCCAUGCUCGGCUAUCGAGAAUCCUGGGGCCUUACCAUCCUUUAUCUUCUUCUUGAUACCUUCGAUGCUCCCGUGUCCCUUCUGGGCCUCCUUAAUAUCAUCCACCAGCAUAGGCUUCGCUUCGAGGUUGGCCAGGAAUCCUGGUGUAACUAAGCUUUCAAGUUUGUCAUAUAGGGCGGGUAUCCUUUCCUUGAUUACAACAUUCAAGGUGUAAGCCUUCUGGCUCAAGGCGUUCUAUACUACGUUAACCUUCCCAGGGUGGUAUUGAAUAGUGAGGUCAUCAUCAUUUAUUAAUUACAACCAUCUCUGUUUCCUCAUAUUCAAUUCCUUUUGAGUGAAGAUAUACUUCAAACUCUUGUGGUCGGUGUAUAUCUCACAUUGCUUCCCCAGAAGGUAAUGCCACCAUGUUUUCAAGGCAUGAACCACUUCUCCCAGCUCAAGAUCGUCGGUGGUGUAGUUCUCCUCAUGGGGACAUAGCUAUCAAGAUAGGUAUGCCACGACCCUGCCUUCUUGCAUCAAGACACCACCGAGCCCGGUCCUUGAUGCAUAGCAGUAUAUCACAAACUCUUUGUGAAUAGCAGGAGUUGCCAGAAUUGGGGUUUUCGUCAACCUUUUCUUGAGCUCCUCGAAGAUUUCUUCGCACUUUGGCGUCCACUCGAACUUUUUGCCCUUCUUCAAGAGUUGAGUCAUAGGUCGGGCAAUGCUAGAGAAUCCUUCAACGAACUCGCAGUUGUAUCCCGCGAGUCCGAGGAAGCCGCUAACUUCCUUUACAUUGGUUGGUGAUCUCCACUUUGUUACCGAUGUAAUUUUGGUGGGAUUGACUGCCAACCCGUUUGCCGUCAUGACAUGACCCAAAAAAUCCAACUUCAUGCAGCCAGAACUCGCAUUUGCCGAACUUGGCAUAAAAUUGGUGCUCUCAAAGUUUUUCUAACACCAUCCUCAAGUGUUACUCAUGCUAUUAUUUCGACUUGGAGAAGAUGACGACAAACUUGUCUAGAUACUCCAUGAAGACCUUGUUCAUGAGGUACAUGAAGUAGGUUGAGGCAUUGGUUAACCAAAACGACAUGACCAUGCACUCAUAAAGGUCGUAUCUAGUUACAAAUGUCGUCUUUGGAAUGUCUUCGGGCCGAAUCUUUAGCUGGUAGUACCCAGACCUGAGGUCGAUCUUGGAGAAUACCUUGGCACCAUUCAACUGAUUUAAUAGGUCUUCAAUCUUGGGGAGUAGGUAUUUGUUCUUUAUGAUGAUCUCCUUGAGGGAACGAUAGUCAACACAGAGUCUGAUAGUCCCGUCUUUCUUGGACAGGAAUAGAACAGGUGAUCCCCAUGGAGAGGCACUAGGGCGAAUAAAACUUUUCCUGAGCUGCUCGGCCAAUUUUUUCUUGAACUCUGCCAAUUCCUCAGACCCCAUCCUAUAUGGAUUCUUAUAGCUGGGUCUUGAUCUAGGCAUUAGUUCAAUAAUGAACUCGAUGUCGCAUUCGGGAGGCAUCCAGGAAGUUCGUCAGGAAAGACACCCGGGUACUCACAUACCACUAGCACUUGGUCCAACUUAGUUCCCAAAAGGAAAUUAACCUGAGGAGCUUGAGUGGAGGCUGGUUUGGGAACAUACUUGACCUCUACUCCUUGGUCGCUGAUCAUAGUAAUAGUCCUCUUGGCACAUGCCAACAUGCUUUCGUGCUUGGCUAACCAAUCCAUACCAAGGAUCACAUCCAAUCCUUGCGGCUUAAGGACGAUGAGAUCUGCUAUGACGUCUACCCCGUUGAUGUUGAUCCCAACUCCUCUACAUCCUAUAUUGGUCCUCAAUACUGCACCUAGGGUUUGUACCAACAUAUGACUAUUUAGGAAUGUAGGCUUUAAGCCGCUUUCCAUCGCAAACUUUUGGGUGAAAAAAGAAUGUGAUGCACCACAAUCAAACAAUAUUGUUGCUAGAGUUGUGUUGACAAGGAACGUACCCAGUAUGCAAUCCGGGUCCUCCUGGGAUUCCUCUGCGGUGACGUGAUUCACCCAAACCUUGCUGUUGUAAGGAGGGUGCCGGGAGCUUGGUUCAUGGUUGGUGCUCCACAACCUUGUCCUUGAUUUGGCGCAUUGGGGCACGAUGCAUCGGGCUUCUUGUUGGGGCACUGCCGUGAGAGGUGUCUAGGCUGACCACACCCAAAGCAGGUGAACUACUCGAAGUUGUUGGGCCUGAUGCCAUUGUUGUUGCCGAGAGGGUUGUAUGCCGGCUUGGAGUUGGCAUACGGCUGAGGCUGAUAGCUCGGUCGAGGUGCAGGAGUCCUAGGGUGUUGAGGCUGAUAGUGUGGCCUUGCCGGGGCUGAUUGCCAUGAGCGAGUCUUGUGGUUGCUGGAACCACCGUUGUUGAUAAGUUUAUGCUUGUGCAUGUCCUCCAUGGUACGACGCUUAUCUUCAAACACGAGGGCCUUACUCAACAGAUUGCAGAAGGUUCGGUUGUCACAAAUAACAAGUUGGUAUUGCAGCGAAUGCUGAAGCCCUUCCCUGAAGCAUUCUAUUUUAGCGGCCUCAUUGCUGACAUCAUCAGGUGCAUACCUCGAUAAGAGAUUGAAUUUGUGCAGGUUCUCCUUAACUGAGCCACUUCCUUGCUUCAGCCUGCGAAACUCGUGCUUCUUGAUAGCCAUUAUCCUAGAUAGAAUGUGGGCAGUACAGAAUCCUUCCUUAAACGCAGCCCAGGUGACAACACACUCCCCUUGCAUGACCUUGCAUCCGUCCCUCCAAGCCCUGGUGGUACCUUCGAGACAGUGAGAGGCAUACAAAACCUUCUCACGGUCAUCAGUGGAGUUGACUAAUGCGAGGAGGUACUCGGUGGUGCGGAUCCAGUCAUUGGCAUCCAAAGGCUCUGUUGUCUAAGUGAAAAUCGGGGGCGAAGUCCUCAUGAAUUCUGACAGAGUGGAGCGACCAUUGCCAUUCCAGCUCUGUUGCGGGUUGUUCACCAGGACCUAAGCCAUCCGCGGGAUAGCGACAUUAUUGGCUUGGCGUUCCACUUGGAGAGCUUGAAGGAACAGAGCCAUGGUCAGGUUCUUCGGAGGAGGCGAUGGCGGGGGAAUGUCGCCUUGGGCUGCUCCUGGUGAGCUCCAGCUUGACUAGACCCACCGGCUCCUCGCUGCUGGCUAGAGUCGCAAGUGCUGGGGUGGUCAAAGGUACUGGCGCAGGUAGCAGACACCAUCCUGUUUGGAGCAGCCAUGUCAACAACUGGAAUAGACGAACGAACAUCACAAAAGGAAAACGUGCCUAAAUAAGGGAGGGGUUGGUAUGGUGCAAGUGUGUCAAGCAAAAGGGUCGAAAACACAUCACACAAUCCAAUAAGCAAGAUAAGCGAUGUAGCCAUUUACAUGCUGCCUAAGGAAAAAGUGUGACUUGCAUCAAGACACAAACAGAAAAGCAACAAACAAGCACACUUGGUUUCAUCAGAACCAUUACACGGACUCGACUUCGCAUGAGGGGUUCCUAGAUUGCCCUACCCUAGGAGUUCUUGGACUUAAGUAGUGGAGUGCUCGGUCUCGUACUCACGCUCCUCUAGGUCUUCCUCAUGGUAAUCAUCUGCGCGGGCAUCAUCUCCUGUCGAGUGUGUGGGGGAAUGGUGAGGUCCAUCCCGACGAUGCUUCGUCAGGGGAGCGGUGAAGAGGUCUCGAUACUCCUUGGCACUCAUGCGAGGACUCCGAAUGGGGGUGAUCUUCUGCGGAGGCAUUCCUCCUAUGUAUGAGAUAGCAGGUCAUCCCUUGGGUGCUCCAUCCUUCUUGAUCUUGCCUAACUUCGCUUGACGAAGUAGCUCGCGGACAUGGUGAAGUUCCUGGCGGAGCUUCCCUGAACUCUUGAUCAGGUUGUUGGCGGAGUGGCUGAAGACUGUUGGUGGAGUGGCUGAGCGGCAUUCCUUCUUUUAGGGAUGGGGUCAACGUCCAACUCCCACCAACCUUGUCCUUCACAAAAGUCAAGUCACGGGUUGCCGGUUCAUUGGCCAUCUCAAGGAGGAUGUCACGAAGGUGGAUGAUCACCUUCCGCGCCACUGUCUUAACUACUAAAGCCAGUGUCUCCAUCUGUGGCCCUUCAAAGAACCAACUAGUUGGAGAGUCAUUUGCCUUGACGACCACAUCAACAUGGUAUUCCUCCGUGGUGGCAUUGACCCAAUGCUCACGGUAUAGGAAAACCGGUGAUCGACGUACUCGACACUUCUCCAAGCUGCCAUCCAGGAGUAGGGGAAAGCCGUACUCUAGGAGGUUCUUGGGUACGACGGCCAUCUACAAGGUUUAGGGAGAGGUGUGAGUAAAAGAAAAGGGGUUUGAAUGGUAUAGGGGAAGAUGUGAGGGAUGUAUAAAAUCCUAAGUGUAAAGGCUAGAUAUACUUUCGUCCCAUCUAACGUCCAUGCUACCUAAUGCGUCCUAUGGUCAGGAUGGCUCUGAUACCAGCUCUAUGGGGAUCCCGACUUGUAGGUCGAGAUUGCCGAAUGAACGUGUACAGUGAUCCCAGGGGUCAGUGCUCACUGAACACACAGAUAUGGAAUAACAAUAGUCUUACAUCCAUACAUAACGUGUGAAUACAAAUAGGGACAUUAAGGCUGAGUCAUUACAUAAAUACGGCCUCGAAGGCCGACACCCCAACAUACUACUGAAUGCGAAUAACUCGGAGGAUAUCUUGAACCCAUGCCAUCUGCCUUAACCUACACGCAUUCUGACUGGGAAGCGUCCUAGAUCACAUGUCCAUCCCCGACGAACUCUUCUCCGAACUCUGGUUCCUCCAUGUCUGGCCAAUUAAAUAACCAGUGGAAACCAAUGAGGACUUUGAAUAUACUCGCAAGCAACCCAUGAUAUGGAACAAGACAUAAUGAGAUGUGACAUAAUACUAGCAUGUUGGUUUCUUGCGGAAAGCUGGUUUUUCCUAGUGCAUCAACAUGAUCAAACCUUUGGGCGGCAAGCACCGAAAGCAUGGUGGUGACACGAUGAACAGGUUACCGAUAUCAAUAUCAACUAAGGGUCGGACAUCCGAUGUCCACCCAUCAUGCAAAGCCUCCUGACUAAGGUUGAUCAUCAUGUCUCCCCAUGUCACCAUCUUUGCUCAUUUUAACCCCCUCCCCCCACACACACACUUGGUUUAUGUGGAAACGACUAGACGUAGUUUAAGCGGGAUUACCCAACUGUCCUUGACCAUGGACACGGCUAUUCGAAUAAUUUUACAUUCUGCAGAGGUUGCGCGCUAUACCCACGAGACUCUAAGAACUUCUGUGUCAUCCACGACUCGCAGUAUAUAACAUACCCGAGGUAAGCACCCGAACAAUGCCUUUCCCAUAGCGACACUAAACAAAGAGUCCACUCGUUUGGUACACAGCCCACAUGAUGUACAUCUUACGAGCCUCGCUCUAGAUCGUAUCAUCCAUGCAGGGAUCAACGGUGUGCGCGGAACAUGUAAAAAAAGGAUAGUCGCCCUUCCUUGCACGACCCCGUCCCAAGAGUGAACACGUCACUUCGUUCGCUAGUAAUGCGGGCUCUCUGCUAGCAUCGACCAAAGUAAUCAACAAAGCCCCGUCACAUAAGGGGUGUCGUGGUCGCACAUGUAAGGUUGGGACGGUCGACACAUCUUAAACCUAAUCCCAUUUACAAAACCACAUACACAAAAUCUUUCUUUGUACACCACUUCUUUCUCAAAUGGUCAUCCAUCUCACACCAUCACCCUCGGGAAUUAGUGGCACCCAAAGUUUUUUCAAAAAAGCCAUUGUAUCACACUCUUCAUUAUUAUUAUCGAUAAUACCCAUCCCCUCCCUGCGUAGCAACUACCAACAACUAUCUACACCCCACAUGCACAACCCUCAUAGAUGGUAGGGUCAUACCCAAAUACAAGUUUCAACAAAUUGUUCUUCGGGGACAACCCAACAAAAGGGGUCUCUGAUACACCAGGUAUGUAUGCAUAACUAGGCAUCAUAUGACAUGCAGGUAGAAGUUUUUUUGGCAUGGUCAAGGGCUGCUUGCCUUGGUCAGUAAAGUCUCCAAGGUUUUUGAAGUCUUCGGGUCCAACUCCUUCGUCAACCAUGUGAUUUAUCGUCGCGAUAGUAAUGGCAAUAAUAAGAACUAUAACAAAAAUAGACAAAAAAGCUCACUCCUAAAAUGUUAACCUACUUUGUAAAUUACUAACUUUACAUCUGAAAAUAUUAGUUCUUGGUUUUGGUGUGAAUAAGGUUUUUGAAUCUAUUUUAAGACACGCUAAAUAUACUCAAAACUUGGUUUUUAAAAUAAAAUUCUCUAUAAAAGUUUUUAUAAAAAUUACACAAACUAUAUUAUUAAAUUCUACAUAUUUUUACAAGAUUUAUGGUGGAAAAAUAAUUAGGUUUGGGGAAAUAUUUCUUCCUGUGGAAUUUUUGCAAAAGCCAGAAAAAUAGAAAAAGGAAAAGGGGCCUAAUACCCUGGGCCAGACGCGGCUAGCAGCUGGGCCGGCCCAGCCAGCCAAGCAGCCAGCUAUCUAACCAGCCCAAGCGCGCGCGCCAUAAGGUUUGAACCUGACACACGGGGUCGAGUGGCCAGUGAGUGCAAGAGGGAGAGAGAGAGAGACUGACGUCAAUAGGUGGGUCCAUCGUGUCAUGGUUCGUCUUCAACCUUGCGACAGAAGGAGGAGGAGCUCACCGGUGUCAACACCAUCGAUGGCGAGGGGAGGUGAGCACAUGAAUGUACUCCUCGUGCUCCCGCCGUUCAGGUGAGGGUUGAGGGGGUGGCUGUGACAUCCUCAACUGUUGCUACAGUAACCUCUGUAAUUAAACCACAGUAAACCUAUGCAAAGGAUGCCACAUCACCGUGUUUCCUAUCAUUGAUCUCGCGAUAGUUUGAAAUAGUUCGAAUUUAAAUUUAAAAUUAAAGUCAAGCGAUAAAAGUUUUCGAAAAUUAAAAUAGAAAUCUUCGGUGUGUCAAAUACUACUUAGGAAAUUGUCUUUUAGAAAUUUGUAAGUUGGUGGGUGUUUAAUUUCACUAAAAUAAAAUAAAUCUAAAACUGUUAAUAAUAAAAUAAUUAUUAAAAAAAAGAAUGCUGGGCCAAACUGGGCCAAAAUGGCCCAGCUAGCCCACCUAAAUUGGGGGGUACAACCCCCCCCCUACUAACCCCAAACCCUAACGCUCCCAGCCCCCAUUCCCCUGUGCCGCCACCCACACACCACGAGGGAACCAGGCCUGGCUCCCUUGUUACCUCCCCUCACCUCCUCGUCCAACCAACCCCCACUAUCCCACCGAAGCCCCCUGAUUGAGCGAGCCCUCACUCGGUUCUCCAUGAUCCUCUCGCUCUCCCUCGCUCGAUCCCCCACCACCGAACCACCUCUCCCCUCCGCCGCCUCCUCCCUCGAGAGCCCUCUCUCCCCACUGUGCCUAGUCACCGCCGACCACGCCGGCUCUCCCUUCCAUCGCUCGCCUCACCUAGCACGAGCCCAUCUCCCAUCGCUUCCUGGCGCCACCCCUCAACCGCGCACCAUCACUCCCACGGUCGGCGCCUCCUCCACUCUCCUCCGCCGCGUCAGGGCAAGCCCUGUGCCAGCCCCGCACCGCCUCUCUCUGCUGCCACCAGGGACCCCCGCGCCGGCCCUCGCACAGGCCGAAGACACCUCCGCUCCGGCCAUCUCCCUCCUGCAUCACCCCUCCGCUCCCGGGCCCCUCCCGUUGGAGCCUCCACCACCGGCCGCUCGAUCCACCACCGUUCGUCCACCCCAGUGUCCAAGAGCCGUCUGCAUGACCUCCCAGUGAGCUCCUCGCCCCCUUUUCCCCAUCGAAUCCGUCAACUUAGGCCAUCUUAGCCGCCGCGUAGGAACCCUCUGGGAGCUCGUGCUCACCCUGCCCGCGCUCGACUCCUCCCGACCGCACCCGCCGUUCCUGCUACUCGUUGCUUCCACAACUCCCAUGCUGCUUGCUGGCACUGCUUAGCAUGGUACACUGCUGCUGCUUGCUCUCACUGCUCAGCAUGGUACACUGCUGCUGCUCGGCUGAAGCUACUGCUACAGUACCAUCGAAUGGUAUUGUAGCGGUAGCUAGCUUAUAAUGUUGGUGCUACUUGGACCACCUAUUUUUAUAGGAGAAAAACACGCCUAAUUUAGAAGAAAAUUAUAUGAACAGAGAAUAGACAUAACAAACUUCAUUUUAUUCAAUUGGACCAGACUUAGAUAAUGCAUGGAUUAAUUCCUAUAAAAUAGACAAAAGUCUAUGUCGUGUUAAGAGAGAUAACUGAAAAACAUAUUUUACUGUUUUAACUACUUCAGUGCUGUAAAUGGACCUAUUACACGAGCUGUUCUUGCCAUCUAAUGGCAUGGCCUUGUAGUACUCUUGAUGUAGAGUAAAACACUUAUAUGAAGUGUCUCCAUUAGAGCUAGAUAACAAUAGUUAUAGCCAUCGGAAAUCAACCAAGUGAAGUUUAAAUAAAAUGAUGAUAAUAAUAAAAUUCAUAAAAAAAUAAAUACUUCAUUAUAUUAUUUUAUUAAUUAAAUAUAUAAUUAAGGAUUAAUUAGACUAGUUAAUUACUCUGUUAAUUAUUAAAUGAUGUUUAAGAUGAAAUAGGAAAAUUAAUUAAAGCUGUUAAUUAAUCAUGUUAAUUCAUUAACCUAAACGGUAUAACAAGUGAGUCCCAUCCCCUUAUUUAAUCGGAUUAAUAUUUAGUUAGUCUAAACUCUUAAAAUGUGCCUAUGACAACGGGGGCCCACUCUUCAUAUUUGACCAGUCAACCCUGUUGACUGAUGAUGUCAUGCUCGCAUCACCAUGAUGUCAUACCUAAUUUUCUAAUAUAAUUAAAUCUGUUAAUUCUUAAAUAUUAACCAAACUUUAAUAAUUAAUAUAUAAUAAACAUAGCUCAGAUGAAAAUAUUUUCAACAUGAAAGUUGAUCAACAAAACGAGACGAACCCGGAUACAUUAUCCGUUCGCUUGUCACGCGUCCCUUGCGUAGCAAACGUGGAAGUUUUCCACCGUUUUUUGUCAGACCGGUAGUAGCCAGAGACCCGGGAAAUAUCAUCAUAUAUUUUCCCGACCUGUCUAUGACGGAUAGAUUACGUUAGCUCAUGCCUAGACCUGCAUAUUCUCAUGUCAUGCUUAGUAUUGCACUUAUUGCUGUUAUUUAUUGUUUCUUCCCCCUCUUCUUAUCGGUAGACCAUGAGACUCAUGCUGCUGUCGGGUACAUCUACCCUCCUGAUGACCAACCCUUUGCCGCAGAGCAACAAGGCAAGCAAACCCCCCUUGAUCAUUCUUAUAUCG
rnacentral:lncRNA from 1 species